GCCCAGUGAUGAAACAAGGCAAAUACGAGCUGAUUGGCUGGGAUGUUGUGUUCUCUUGCUCUCUGAUUGGUGGGUAAUCUUGGCAGAGCAGUGGAGAUUGGCUGCACUGCUGUAAGGGCCCACCCAUAGUCAUACCAGCUGCCACUCUGAAUAUGCACAGUUCUCCUAGAUAUGGAAAUUUGUGAAUGAGUUGCAGCUUACAGUGUCUGUGUGUGUCUGUGUGUCUGUGUCUGUGUGUGUGUGUAAAUGUGUCGGUCAGCAAAGAGUCACUUCUCUCCUAAUGGGCCCACUAGCUGUGAAUAAUUUCUUUGGUAAUCUGAGGGUA